rnacentral:rRNA from 1 species
GGUCAAGCUACAAAGAGUUUAUGGUGAAUGACUUGGUUAGGUGAGGCGAUGAAGGACGGGGUAAGCACCGAUAUUUCCCGGGGAGCCGCAAACUGGCUUUGAUCCGGGAGAGUCCGAAUGGGGAAACCCACCGCGAGUCAUGUCGCGGUAUCCCACCGAUGAAUACAUAGUCGGAGGGAAGCGAAACCGGGGGAACUGAAACAUCUAAGUACCCUGAGGAAAAGAAAUCACCGAGAUUCCCUUAGUAGCGGCGAGCGAAAAGGGAACAGUCUAAACUUCGGCAGCUUGCUGUCGGGGGGUUGCGGGACCUCAACGUGGGAUUGCGGAUCGUUAGUGGAAGUAUCUGGAAAGAUACGCCAUAGCUGGUGAAAGCCCUGUACACGAAAACGUGAAGCACCCUAGAGGUAUCCCAAGUACCACGGGACACGGGAAAUCCUGUGGGAAUCCGGGCCGACCACGGUCCAAGACUAAAUACUACACCUAGACCGAUAGGGAACUAGUACCGUGAGGGAAAGUUGAAAAGAACGCCGGUGAGGCGAGUGAAAUAGAACCUGAAACCAUGAACUUACAAAGCAGUGGGAGGGCUAUGCCUGUCUUCGGACGGGAAUGCCUGACUGCGUACCUUUUGCAGAAUGGACCAACGAGUUACUGUGUGGUGCAAGCUUAAUCCCUUUCGGGGAGCAGGCGCAGCGAAAGCGAGUCCUAACCGGGCGACUGAGUACCAUAUAGUAGACCCGAAACCGAGUGAUCUACUCAUGGCCAGAGUGAAGUCCUGGGAAACUGGGAUGGAGGCUCGAACCCGUCACUGUUGAAAAAGUGUGGGAUGAGCUGUGGGUUGGAGUGAAAGGCUAACCAAACUCGGAAAUUGCUGGUUCUCCCCGAAACAAUUCUAGGGUUCGCCUCGGGUAAUAAGAGAUGGGGGUAGAGCACUGAAUGGGUUGCGGGGCCUUACCGGGUUGCCGGACCCAACCAAACUCCGAAUACCAUCUCUCGUAUCCCGGGAGGAAGACGACGGGGGCCAAGCUUCGUCGUCAAAAGGGAAUCAGCCCAGACCGCCGGCUAAGGUCCCUAAAACAGGCUAAGUGGUAAAGGAUGUGAGUUCGCUAAAACAACCAGGAUGUUGGCUCAGAGGCAGCCAUCAUUUAAAGAGUGCGUAACAGCUCACUGGUCGAGCGACCUUGCGCCAAAAAUGAUCGGGGCUCAAGCCUGUUACCGAAGCCGUGGGUUCGUCGCCGCAAGGCGAUGAGCGGUAGGGGAGCAUUGUCAUGUUGGUUGAAGCUGUACCGUAAGGAGCAGUGGACACGUGACAAGGGAUUAUGUUGGUAUAAGUAGCGAAAAUGUCCGCGAGAAACGGACACACCGAAAGUCCAAGGUUUCCUGGGGAAGGUUAAUCCGCCCAGGGUUAGUCGGGCCUAAGCUGAGGCCGUAUGGCGUAAGCGAUGGACAAUCCGUUAAUAUUCGGAUACCAGCUUUAUGGCGUUAUUACCCUGAGUAUGACGCGGAAGGAACGGGGGUGCGCAGUGUUGGAUGUCUGCGUUUUCUCUUGAGGGAUCAGGCGAAGGGACCUGACGGGUUACCGUCGGGGAAGUUUUCCGAUUCCAUGCCGCCAAGAAAAGUACUUUGGGAAGUCAUGGAGCUGACCGUACCGUAAACCGACACAGGUAGACCACCAGAAUAUGGUAAGGUGCUCGAGAUAACUCUCGUUAAGGAACUCGGCAAUCUAACCUCGUAACUUCGGGAUAAGAGGUGCUCUGGGGGUGUCAAAGCCCUUCAGAGUCUCAGUAAAGUGGCCUGGGCGACUGUUUAGCAAAAACACAUCACUCUGCAAACUCGAAAGAGGACGUAUAGGGUGUGACACCUGCGCGGUGCUGGAAGGUUAAGGGGAGAGGUCAGUGGAUCGUAAGAUUCGCAAAGCUUUGAACCGAAGCCCCAGUAAACGGCGGCCGUAACUAUAACGGUCCUAAGGUAGCGAAAUUCCUUGUGGGGUAAGUUCCCACGCGCACGAAUGGUGUAACGAUCUAGGCGCUGUCUCAACGAGAGACUCGGCGAAAUUGUAGUGGCGGUGAAGAUGCCGUCUACCCGCAUCAAGACGAAAAGACCCCAGAACCUUUACUGCAGCCUGUUAUUGGCUUUUGGUUCAGUAUGUGUAGCAUAGGUGGGAGACUUUGAAGCUGCGACGCUAGUUGCAGCAGAGUCGCAAUGUGAAAUACCACCCUUAUUGCACUAAGAGUCUAACUUCAUGCCGUGAAUCCGGCUGGAGGACCGUGGCAGGUGGGCAGUUUGACUGGGGCGGUUCCCUGUUAAAAGAUAACAAAGGGGCCCUAAGGUUGGCUCAAGACGGUCGGCAAUCGUCUGUGGAGUGCAAGCGCACACGCCAGCUUAACUGCGAGUCCGGCAGGACGAGCAGAUACGAAAGUAGGGGCUAGUGAUCCGGUGGUUGAACGUGGAAUUGCCAUCGCUCAACGGAUAAUAGGUACUCUGGGGAUAACAGGCUUAUCG